GAUGAAGAACGUAGCGAAAUGCGAUAAGUAAUGUGAAUUGCAGAAUUCAGUGAAUCAUCGAAUCUUUGAACGCAUCUUGCGCUCCUUGGUAUUCUGAGGAGCAUGCCUGUUUGAGUGUCAUUAAAUUCUCAACUACACUGACUUUGAAUUGGUGUGGCUUGGAUUUGGGGGGAAAAUUGUUGUGGGCUUUUUGUAUAGUCUGCUCCCCUGAAAUUGAUUAGCGGUACCUUUGUGGAACUGUCUACAGGUGUGAUAAUUAUCUACAUCUUAGACAUCUGCUGGAAUGCUGCUUUCUAAACCUUACUUGUAUUGACAAUCUUGACCUCAAAUCAGGCAGGACUACCCGCUGAACUUAAGCAUAUCAAUAAGCGGAGGA
rnacentral:misc_RNA from 1 species